GGGGUUGUAGCGUAACUUGGCAGCGCGGCAGGCUCCAGACCUGCAAAUCUGGGUUCAAAUCCCAGCGACCCCA
rnacentral:tRNA from 1 species